UUCUUUCUGUAUUCACAAUAAAUGUGGUAUUUUGCCUUUUUCCCUUUAAUAAGAUCCUGCUGGUUUUUAUUUUAUUGGUACAACAAAGGAACCAUUAUUCUGACAAUCUGUAAAGUCUGAGUUCAAGGAGGAAGUGUAGGGGGGCCAUAGAAAAUCAAUAAUUGCCUUCAAUGUUUUUCACCAUUUUCAUCUGGUUAGUAGAGGAGAAGCAAUGCUAAGAAAGAGCAUUUACAAACGAAAAGCUCAGUUUUGACUUAUUAGCGGUUCUGUCAUACUCCUCAGUAUUGAGGAGUUAGAAGCAGAGUAAUUGCUUCAGUAUCUGGAUCUCGAUCCAAAUCCCACUGAAGCCCAUGGAAAGAUUCCCAUUCAGUGGGAGUUAGUCUGGCUCUCUGAAAAUUUUCAACAGUUGCAAACAUGUGCACCUGGAAUUAACUGGACAAUUUUUCCCUCUGAGAAACAAUGAAGUUGAGCAUUCUUAAAAUACUAAAGAAAUCUCAUCGGGGUUUUUGUUUGUGGGUUUUGGUUUUUUUCCAUGAAUAACUUGAGUUGAGAAGUUCAUAGACUACAUGCCCACAUGUGAAAGAUUACAAUAAGCACAUUUAACAGGAUGGGUGGAAACAGGAUGCUACUUUUGCUCUCACUGAAAUCAGUAAGUUUUUGAGUGGUAACACAUAUACACACAAUAAAUAGGAGAAGCGGAUGCCUGACGUAUCUAGAGAAACUGAGCCCCAAAUAUACAUCAUUGAGACCAUAUACAUAUAUGUAUGUUUCCAUGCAAUUACCCUGUGUGGAUUUUUUUGGAUGAGAACUUAAAAAUUAAGGCCCUGUCUGUGGACAUAAUGACCCCAAUACUCUCAUCUGGCCAUGCUGCUGUCAGUGCAAGACUGGGGAGAAGAAUCAGAAGUGGCUAAAACCACUUUUGCACUUCUCCAAUUCUGGGACUGCCUGGGACCAGUCUAUUAUCCCAUGUAAAUUAUAAUAGCAUAAAUGCUGCUGCUGUUACUUAUCCUUUGUGCCUAGGGCCUCCAGGUCAUUUGGGCAGCCAGGGUCUUGCCCCUUCUCUCCUGGACAUGCAGUGGAAUGGGAUAGCACAGGAGUCACUAUGGUAGCUCUAUACCACCUGAGGCUUCCCCUGUGGAAAUGUUCAGGCACAGGACCUGCCAAAGCAGGAUCAAGCAUCUGCCUCUAUUGCCCAGGAUCCUAAGAGUCAGGGUUUGUUUGAUGUCAUAAGUCAAAAUUGCCCCUUCUAUGAUCCUGUGUCCCAGCAGUCCAAGUGGAUGUGCCUUCCAGCAUAGAAGUGGCUGCAAUUCAAUUCAAUAUACUUUAUAUGUAUGAGAAAUUACAGUG